CUUUUUUUUGCACAAAAUAAAUGCCCAGCCGCCGCCGCCGCCGCCUCCUCGGGAGCCUCUAUCUCUCCGCUCGCAGCAUCUUUGCACAUGCCAGCCGCUCCGAUCCCAUUCACGGUCCCGGCUCCGCUCGCUGGCUCUCGCUCGGCGCGGGUCGCGCUUUCGGGUGGCAGGGAGAAGAAAUGUCUCUCCCCGUUAGACAGCACGGGGGAAGAAGGCAGGCUCCGGGGUCUCUUUCUCUCAGGGCGACUGAUGCUGCUUCUGUUGUCAACAAGCCCCGCGAGCUGCUCUGCGGAUCCGUCUGUGGAUCUUUUUUUCUCUGCAAGGCUUUAAAUACAAAAGUGCCCUCCGAGCAGCAGCAACGUGCUCUGAUUAGGCCUCAUUAUGCAUGCAUGGAAAAGCAAACAAACAAAAAAAAUUAGCAACGCUUCUUCUUUUACACAUCCCCCCAGCCUGCGCUCUCUCGCUCUCUUUCUCCUUUUCUCCACUUUUUUCUCCCUUCGCUCGGCCCCCUUUCCCGGCUUUGCGACUUGCCAUUGGUCCAGCCUGUUGUUGAAACUUCCCCCCCCCCCCCCCCGCUUUUUUUUUCUCUUCCCUCCUCUCUUUACGAUCUACUGGAGGGAGGGAAGGAGAGAGGGGGCUGGAGGGCAGCUCACAUUCAAAGCUUGAAAGGAAAGGCUUAAGGAGAGUGACAGCCCCCCGAGGAGCCCCUCCUCCCGUUAAGGCGGCGCGGCGGCGCGGAUCGGGCACGGCGGGGCUCUCGCGGGGCUCUGCCCGGUCCCUGCCCGGUCCCUGCCCGGUCCCUGCCCGGUGUCUCCCGGGGCUCUCCCCAGAACACCGCACCGCGGCGGCGGCGUGGGUCUGCGGGCGGCUCGGGCGGGGAUGACGCCCGACGCGCUGCUCGCAAGAGCAGGAUAAAGGAAAAAAAAAAAAAGAAAAUGAGUCUCUAGCUCGAGCGCUGUUUGCACCCAAACUUCCCCCAAACUUCCCACAGACACACGUGAGAGCAGAGCAGGACCCGGCUCGGGGUGAGACCGACUUUGUUCUUGCUGCAAUCCGAGCAGAGAUCGGAUCUCCUGCUUUCGGUGCGUUAGUACGCGGCGGGAGAGCAAAGCUGCCUGUGUUAGCGGUGUGCUGCAACCAAGAAGUAGACACGAAAGUAUACAUAUUAAGGCACAACGAGAGGAGCUUAACAAAAUAAAUACUGGUGAGUUUACCCGUUGCCUUUCUUUUUCGUGCUACCUUAAUUCCAGAGCAACGUCGGCUUCGACCACAAGGGGCAUCGGUAUCUGCUGCCUGUCAAAACUGGCGCUUUUUUUCAUCCUGAGACUAUCAACUCCAUCUGUCACAAAAAUUAGGGCUAAAUCUAUUUUCCAGAACCUCAGGGAUCUUGGUUUGCUAUGCCGUGUGGAUGGAUGUCUGUCUGGGAUCGCAUGGAAGGUGGGGUAGUGGUGUGGUGGGGCUGGGAGGCAGCGUGAUUGAUGGGUUGGGAGGCAUUCACAAGCAUUUGCUCCAUUGUGGUCACUUUUACACGCUGCUAGUGCUUCUUCUUCAAUGCAGUCUUGCCUCUUCUGGUGGAAAAAAAAAAAAAAAAGAAAAAAAAAAAGUGCUUGCAUGUUUUCAAAUCCAUUAAAACUACUUCCAGAGCAACA